rnacentral:lncRNA from 1 species
UGACAUGGCCCUCAGCAACCACACAAGGUCAAACACUGCAUGAUCAACUCUGGACCCUGUUCUCAUCAGAGAGGAAGGCAGACUAUGGACAGUCACUGCCCUAUCACCCAGGCUUAGGGCUUCUGAGGAUAUGGGCAGUAGCCAGAACUGACUCAGGGAACAGAGAGGAAAUGCCCCAGAAUAUGGGACUAAACUCCUUCCAUAUAAGAUGCUCCAAGACCUUGAGGCUUUGCUGUGUUACUGGGCAGGCCUGUGUGACAUGGGCCUCAGCAACCACACAAGGUCAAACACUGCAGGAUCAACUCUGGACCCUGCUGUCAUCAGAGAGGAAGGCAGACUAUGGGCAGUCACUGCCCUAUCACCCAGGCUUAGGUGAACUUACCCUGCUCCAUCACUGUAGGACAGAAACCACUAUGCUGAAAGAUAGGAGCAGGAACCAGGAAGCAGCUCCUGCCUGGGGAGGAGCCAUGAGAAGGAAGUCUCUAGAAAGAUUGACGUGCUGUAAAGCCCAGCCAUUCCUCAGGAGGAUAUUGGACACUGGAGGAUGGGUAAAUAUGAGAACAAGUGUCACUUACUGUGAGCAGAGAGAGGGGACACCAUACCUCAAAAAAUGACUGGAGGAGACCCAAAGAAGACUUGGACACUCCACAUCUGCACUUAAAUAUCUUUAUUCUAAGGUCACAAACAUCCAGGGGCCAGGAGGAAGCUUGGAGCUUUCCAGACAGAACAAACAAGAGCAGUGUCCAGCAACAAUGUAAAGGGACCUGGAGAAAAAGAGGACACUUAGUAGCACCUGGACCCCUCUGUCCUCUGCAAGCAUGGAGCCCUCCAUAUGAAGCAGUGUGGACUGCC